rnacentral:rRNA from 1 species
ACGCCGCGUGAGGGACGAGGCCUCUGGGCUGUAACCUCUUUUCUCAAGGAAGAAGACAUGACGGUACUUGAGGAAUAAGCCACGGCUAAUUCCGUGCCAGCAGCCGCGGUAAUACGGGAGUGGCAAGCGUUAUCCGGAAUUAUUGGGCGUAAAGCGUCCGCAGGCGGCCCAGAAAGUCUGUUGUUAAAAAGUGGAGCUCAACUCCAUCCAGGCAAUGGAAACUACUGGGCUAGAGUGUGGUAGGGGCAGAGGGAAUUCCCGGUGUAGCGGUGAAAUGCGUAGAUAUCGGGAAGAACACCAGUGGCGAAGGCGCUCUGCUGGGCCAUAACUGACGCUCAUGGACGAAAGCCAGGGGAGCGAAAGGGAUUAGAUACCCCUGUAGUCCUGGCCGUAAACGAUGAACACUAGGUGUCGGGGGAAUCGACCCCCUCGGUGUCGUAGCCAACGCGUUAAGUGUUCCGCCUGGGGAGUACGCACGCAAGUGUGAAACUCAAAGGAAUUGACGGGGGCCCGCACAAGCGGUGGAGUAUGUGGUUUAAUUCGAUGCAACGCGAAGAACCUUACCAGGGCUUGACAUCCUGGCGAACCCCUGAGAGAUCGGGGGGUGCCUUCGGGAACGCAGUGACAGGUGGUGCAUGGCUGUCGUCAGCUCGUGUCGUGAGAUGUUGGGUUAAGUCCCGCAACGAGCGCAACCCACGUCUUUAGUUGCCAGCAUUCAGUUGGGCACUCUAGAGAGACCGCCGGUGAUAAACCGGAGGAAGGUGUGGAUGACGUCAAGUCAUCAUGCCCCUUACGUCCUGGGCUACACACGUACUACAAUGCUACGGACAAAGGGCAGCAAACUCGCGAGAGCUAGCAAAUCCCAUAAACCGUGGCUCAGUUCAGAUCGUAGGCUGCAACUCGCCUACGUGAAGGAGGAAUCGCUAGUAAUCGCAGGUCAGCAUACUGCGGUGAAUACGUUCCCGGGCCUUGUACACACCGCCCGUCACACCAUGGAAGUUGGCCAUGCCCGAAGUCGUUACUCCAACCCGUAAGGGAGGAGGACGCCGAAGGUGGGGCUGAUGACUGGGGUGAAGUCGUAACAAGGUAGCCGUACCGGAAGGUGCGGCUGGAUCACCUCCUAA